rnacentral:rRNA from 1 species
ACGAACGCUGGCGGCAUGGAUUAGGCAUGCAAGUCGAACGCUUGUAGCAAUACAGGAGUGGCGAAAGGGUGAGUAACGCGUUGGUGACCUGCCCCGAAGAGAGGGAUAGCAGUUCGAAAGGACUGAUAAUACCUCAUGUGGUUGUUGGUUUUAGAAUCUGACAACUAAAUGGAUUUAUUCGCUUCGGGAGGGGCCUGCGUCCCAUCAGCUAGUUGGUAGGGUAAUGGCCUACCAAGGCGAUGACGGGUAGGGGACCUGAGAGGGUGGCCCCCCACAAUGGAACUGAAACACGGUCCAUACACCUACGGGUGGCAGCAGUAGGGAAUAUCGGUAAUGUGCGAAAGCGCGAACCAGCAACGCCGCGUGCACGAUGAAGGCCUUCGGGUCGUAAAGUGCUUUUAGAGAGGAUGAGGAAGGACAGUACUUUCUGAAUAAGCCUCGGCUAACUACGU